GGAGACGUGGCUGAGUGGCUGAAAGCGCACCCCUGCUAAGGGUGUGUACGUGUUGAAGCGUACCGCGGGUUCGAAUCCCGCCGUCUCCG
rnacentral:tRNA from 6 species